rfam:Picea glauca, whole genome shotgun sequence.
ACAUGCCUAUAGCAUAGCGUUAAUGCAUCGGAUCCCAUUAGAACUUCGCAGUUAAGCGUGCUCAUGCUAGAGUAGUACUGGGAUGGGUGAUCGACCGAGAAGUCCUAGUGUUUUACAUGCC